rnacentral:rRNA from 1 species
UACAGAGGAUGCAAGCGUUAACCGGAAUGAUUGGGCGUAAAGCGUCUGUAGGUGGCUUUUUAAGUCCGCCGUCAAAUCCCAGGGCUCAACCCUGGACAGGCGGUGGAAACUACCAAGCUGGAGUACGGUAGGGGCAGAGGGAAUUUCCGGUGGAGCGGUGAAAUGCGUAGAUAUGCGGAGGAACACCGAUGGCGAAGGCAAUCCCCUGGGCCUGCACUGACGCUCAUGCACGAAAGCGUGGGGAGCAAACAGG